rnacentral:rRNA from 1 species
GUCUUUUUGAUUUAAAUAAUAAGUUUAACCUGCCCAUUGAAAAAUUUUUAAAAGGCUGCAGUAUUUUGACUGUACAAAGGUAGCAUAAUCAAUAGUUUUUUAAUUGAGAACUUGUAUGAAUGGUUGGAUGAGAGAUUAACUUUUUUAUUUAAAAUAUUGAAUUUUACUUUUUAAUUAAAAGGUUAAAAUUAUUUUUAAAGACGAGAAGACCCUAUAGAGUUUUAUAAGCAAUAAUUUUUAUUUUAUUAAGAUUAAUAUAAAUUUUAUUUUUAAGCUUAUUUUAUUGGGGUGAUAAUAUAAUUUAAAUAACUUAUAUUUAAUAAUACAUUAAUAUAUGAUUGAUUGAUCCAAUUAUAUUGAUUAUAAAAUUAAAUUACCUUAGGGAUAACAGCGUAAUUUUUUUUUAAGUUCAUAUUAAUAAAAAAUUUUGCGACCUCGAUGUUGGAUUAAGAUUUAAUUUUAGGUGCAGAAGUUUAAAAUUUAAGUCUGUUCGACUUUUAAAUUCUU